UUCAAAGAAUCUUAACGAAGAUAAACUUGAUCUAUAAUAGGAUCAUAAGCAGAUAAGAAGAAAGUAAGAAACAUGAAAGUGGGCUGCACAAGUUUUGCUAGAAGACAACGCAAAGAAUAAACAUAAAACCAGUUGGAGGAGAUAUACUGAAAAGUUCCAGCUGUAGAUUUAAAAUUUCAACUUCCUUUUUAACAAGUAUACAAAUACUGAUGGACUAAUAUAAACCAUUUAUAUGAAUGAGUUAUGAUACAAUCGGACGUCAAGACUAGAUCAAGAAAUGAACUAUCAAGUACAGCCAUAGGAAGCUUCUUUUGAGAUCAUCAAGCACUACAAUGAAACAAGAUUUGACAUGGAACAGAUUUGCACUAAAACACUUUCACGGAUAUAUACCAAAAUAUAUGGAGGCAUAAGAAAAGAUUUUGAGGAAAGAGGACGUUGGCUUUUGUACAUACUUCAAAGAACUUCAACAUGGAUAUUCAAAGGCUAAUAGUUUAUAUCAACACUAACACAUCCAUUACAAGGACACUUGAACCAUGAAUAAGCAGCUAUCAACAUACUCGUAUGAUCAUAUCAGAAAGAAUUAAACCGAAUGAGACAUCACAACAAUGAAAACUCAAUACUUCAGAUUGACAAACCAACUGCUUGUCAAUUUACAAGAAAGAAUGCAUAAGAAACAUUUCCAACAAAUACAUAUCAAACUAGAAUCAAAGCUAUAAAGAAAAGUUUGUUUUCCCUACCUCAAAUCAAGCAACUAGCAGCCAAAAUCUCCAAGCACACAAGCAUCUAUGCCCAUAGAUGAUAGCAAUCCAAUUUUUGAAAGCAAACACCCAGCUGGUACCCAAGCAAUUCAAGUUCCCUAAUUUGAAAUUCAUGGCACAAAUCAAUCAUCCACUUUAUUGGGUAAUAGCUGAAACAAGAAUUAGUUUGAGAAAGAGGACAAUGAAACUUACAGAAGCUAACAGCAAAUUGAAAAGACAAUUUCAUAUUCUUUGACAGUAGGAUUCAUGGCGAUUCUCUCCUCUUUCUUGUGAGCUAGUGAAUUGGGUGUGGUUGGUUUAGAGAAGAGAACGAUGAUCAUUAGAGAACAAAGACAGAACUGAACUGAAGAGUUUAGAGCAAAACAGAAGGAAGACAGAGAAGAAAAGAAAGGAAAAGAGCAACGACGUGUAUGGUGGAGAAAGCAAUCGCACAGGAGAUGGGAGGAUCAAUGGAAGAGAACCAACAAACGUGUUCCCUUCUAGAUGGGGACUAGAUGAUUCCAUAACCAAUUACACUUAUGAGAGAAAAUAAAAUAAAGUAAAUAAAAUAAACAAUUCUAGGACAUAAAAAUCUGAUAGCAAACUUUUACUAGUGGUCAACAAUAGAGUCAAAACCGAAAUCCAAGCCAGGAGAGAGGAAACAUGCAAAAUCAGUCCAAGUAAGAAAAACAAUUUUUUUAAGAAAAUUUAAUUUAAGACUAGGUUAUUACAAGCACUCUCCCAGAUGUAGAAAAAAAAAAUAUUAUAGAAAAGAAACUUAAAACUAACUUAGGCUAUUUUCGCCUUCUGGGGACUAUCCAACAUGUCCUCAACAUAUAAAACCUGAAACCCUAAAUCCAAUCCCACCCCCUCCCACAUUGCUCUUGUAAUGCUUUCCUUUCAAAGAGAGCUAGAGUGAGAAAAGCGUUUAACCUGGGAAAAAGCCAGUCUUUUAAUUCUUCCCCAACAAUUGUUCUCUUCAGAAUGGCAACACAGGUCCCUAGAGAACGGCCAUACCCCCUACACCUAUUUAAACAAACUGAAACACAAAACUUAAUCCAACACCACCAUCCCUGCACCUACUUAAACACAUAUGCAGAAACUCAAAACCUAAACCAUCAUCAACAUAAUUUAAGAGCAACUCUAUUACCACUAAUACAACUCCCCAAAGACCAACUUCUCCACCUCUCUUCUUAUCUGGUGUUUGAUAAUGGAGAAUUUCUGCCCACCUUUCACUUCAACAACUAACACCAGUUCUUCAUCUCCAUUUUCAACUAUGGAAAGUUCACCAUCUCAGUUGUCUCAUAAUCCAGUGCUUUCCUACCUACCACCAAACCCUCAUUAAUUGGCAGUAACCAUGUCCUCCUCCCAUCUGUCCCUCUCCAGUCCCAAGUUCGACUGCGAUGGACUCGAGGAUGGUACGCCAAAGAAGAAGCGACAUUCUGAGAACAAAAAAAGCUACUUGUGCAGAGCUUGUUGUUCUUCUUCUUCAAGGUUGGCUGUAGAGAGAGAUCCAUCUACUGCUGGUUCUGAAACUCAGAAUGAACAACACCUCUACCCAUUCUGCAUGCCGGAUAACAAGGUCAGUACGUUCUCGAUAUUAUGCAUGAAAGGUUAUAUUUUCUUUAUGUUUUCAAGUUUGCCUAUCUAACUCAUAUAUCUCUGUUACACAAAAACUGAGACUGUUGUUCAAAAAAGAGCUGAAGAAUAGUGACGUUGGAUCUUUAGGCAGGAUUGUCCUUCUAAAGGUGAUGAUUGAGCUCGUUUCGUGAUUCUGAUUUCUUGAGCUUUGACAAAAAGCAUUUGCUAUUUAUUAAGCGUUUACUCUUCAUGAAAUCACUAAUGUGAUGUUCAUCUCUUGAUUACUUGUUACCUCAUUCAUAGAAAGAGGCUGAAAAAUACCUUCCGAGCCUCUUCGAUAAAGAAGGCAUCAAGUUGAGGAUCAGGGAUGCCCUUUCAACCCAAGAGUGGGGUUUGAAAUACAAGUAAGUUUAUGAAAUCAGAAAUCGUCAAAUGAACGUUAUCUAUGGCAAACAGUUUUAAUGAACUAAUUGUUUAUGCUUAUUGAUUUUGACACAGGUACUGGACAAAUAACAAAAGCCGAAUGUAUGUGCUCGAAAACAUAGGUACAAAAAUUUCCAAUUGAUUGCGACAAACAUGGUAUAUGUAUUAAUUCAUUUGUUCACUAACUGUAUUUCAAUGUAACAGGAGACUUUGUUCAGGAAAGUGGAGUGGAGGUGGGAGAUAGCAUUCAUCUUUAUGAAGAUGAAUGCAAGAAUCUUGUGAGUUCUACUCUCUUUUGUUUCUUCUUUGGAUACAGAUGAGAAUUUUGAUUUUUGAAAAUUGAAUAGAGAGAGAUGGAUAGGUUUGUUGAGGAUUGCAUGCAUGGUGACAAAGUUCCACUCCACCCUUUUCAAUUAUGCUGACUGUUUUCUUUGGAUUAUAGCAAGCUAGGCGAAAUUAAUUAGAGUAAAUGAUGUAUUGGUUAACAUUGAUACACAGCCAGGAGUCACGUUCCUCUUAUAGCCUCUUGAGAAUUGGAACUAAUGAACUAGCUACAUGUUCAGAUAUAACCAUAGCAUACAUCAAGCCGUGAGUCAUCCGAUCGUUUUGAAUUUUGAAUUACUAAACAAUCAGACGGCUCACGGCUUAAUGUAUGUCAUACAAAUGUGUAUAGUAGCCGAACCCUAUUUAGACAUGAUUUAUGUGUAGAUUUCAGUUUAAGUGUGCCACUCUUUCAUAAAACUAAUAAGGGUAUGUACAUUUGCAACGUGAGUGUGCGUCAGUAAUUUGAUUUAGAAUCAUUAAUUAUCAAAUUUGAAUGCAUCUACAAUUAAAAGUCACUCAAAUUUGCAUAGACAAACUAGUUUAAACACAUCAAUAGAACUAUCUCUUUACGCCUAUAAUUGGAUUAUUUAUGUUUACUUUGCAUAUUUUUUUAUGUAUAGAUUGUACAUAAACUAUUUAAUCUAUAUGUUUUUACUAACUAAGCUUAUUUCUUGUCAUGCAAGGAACCAAUACGUCUCCAUCCACCGGCACAGAGCAAGGCCAGUACAUGUAGUUGAGCCCUCCUCAACCUCAUAUCAUCAACAAAACUAUACUGAUACCAACACCAACACCAACACCACCAUCGAUAACUCCAACACCAAAAUCUCUGCCAACGCAACAAGCAUAUACACUCCAUACGCCUACAACGAAAAUCGAACUGAUAAAGACGAGACUUCUUCAACAAUAGUAUUACAACAACAACUAAAACGCGAGGAACAACUAGAAGAAACAAACAACACGGUGACAUUGUUUACGGAUCCCGCUCCUUCAUAUAUAAAAAGUGAAGAAGUCAACAACUCCAACAAAUACGUCACUAGACAACAACAAACCUCUACUCAUCAAUUAGCCAUGGCUGAGAUAUUUGGGUCCUCAUCAUCAUCCUCACCGAGUACAGUGAAGAUGUCUGAUGAUAACUUAGGCGACUGCUAUGAAGGACUCGGGACGCUCUCGGAAGUCCAUCGUUUUGAGUUUGAUUUUGACGACAUAAUGAGAGACGACAAGACGUUAUAGUGGUGUACAAUGUACAAUAAUCUAAUGAGAUGUGUAUCUAUUCAUAAGGCUAUAUAUGUUAGCAAGAUUCUUUCUACUUAAGAAAUCUCGACAUAAUCUUCUAGAAUAUUGCCUUGUAUAUAUUCUGUAUUCAAAUCUUAGAUUAUGUAAUCUUGUCUAGUUAGAUAUCCUACUUACAAGGCUUAUUGUACUCUAUAUAUACUAGCAUUGUAAUGAAAAUACAAUUUCUACACUAUAUAUAUAUAUAUUCGGAUUCUUAUAUCUCUAUUGUUCUUCAUGCUUUUAGUUUCAAUUUGCCAAGAAGGAUUGGGAAUUGGGAUAAAGAAGGGAAAAUUCUGCUGUGCCGGAGGGCAUAGCAUGCUUGCUGGAAAACACAGGCAAAACCAUCCCCUGCUGGAGCCCCUACUAGACCCCCCCUGCUGAACCUCCCCCUCCUUAGUGAUAGGCAUGCUAUACCGUUCGGUAUAGCAGCCAAACCCAGAAAGAAGUAGAGGGACUGAGCCUAGGAAGGCUGGUUGGCCCACCUUUAUGAUUUUAAUAUAUUUAAGUUAUUAAAACGCUUCCUUGAACCUUAGCUACCCUAGGGUUUAUCCAACCUAUUUUUCCUUCUUCCGCAUCAUCAUCAUGGCAUCAAUUACGAUCUUGUUCUCACGGUUCCUAAAAUACUUAGCAAGGGUGGUAUCUCGCAUGCUAGGAAGAAAAUCAAGAACUAGUCGAAAGGCAAAACAAACAAGGAAGAGAAGAUGUUGAAUUGCAGAGUUGCCGGAAUUCAUUCAGGAAUCCAUAGUGAGAGAUGAAGAGAUCCGAUUUCUCUAAAGUGAGGAGAGUGUGAAUUUAGUUAAAGUUCAUAAAAUCAGGACUCUCCAUCCAAUCUAAUGGUUCCAGCAACUGACACAUCACUUUUCUACCAUUUUUUUUUAGUUUUCAUCUAAACCAUGGUUAACUUACUUUUAAGUUAAAAAAAAGAAUUAAAUUCAGUUUACUCCCAUGAAGUUUGGGAGUAACUUCAUGUUAAUCCCUAUACUUUCAAUUUCAUCAGUUUACCUCUCAAACUUUUGAAUUUUCCUCAAGCGUGACCAAAUGUCCUAUAUUCUGUCCAAAUCGGACGUUAACUACUGAUAAUUUUAACCAUAACUGUGAGGCCAGUAUCUAGAAUUUGGGCAAAUUGGACCUUAUAUGUCCAAAUUGAACCUUAACUGCUGAUAAUUAAAGGUCAAUUCAAACGGAAUAUGAGAAUUUGGGCACGGCAGACAGAAAUUGAAGAGUUCAAGGGGUAAACUGAUGAAAAUAAAAGUGUAGGGACUAACAUGAAGUCACCCCCAAACCAUAAGGGGGUAAACUGAAUUUAAUUCUAAAAAAAAAAACUAAAAAAACUAAAGGAUUUCCGGUUGUGGUUUAAGUUCCUUCUUUCUUUCUGCUUUCUUUGCUGCUACUUUCUCUUUUUGCUUCCAUGGCUGCAGACUAACCAUGGAAUUAAUGACUUCUUGCAAUUGUUUUUAAUAAUUUAUUCAACAAGAAGCGAUUCAUUACUGGAUGUAUGUAUUCUAUAUACGUACAAAUUGGAUGUAUGUAUCUAUGUAACAUAAGAUUAGGGCUUUGACAAGAAUUACAUUACUAGAGAUCUACGUGAAGAUACCCAGAAUAUAGGAAUCAAAUAAGAAACCCAUGAUUUUUUCUUUUUACCCGAUCGAUAGAGGAAUUACUAUCCCAAUUAAUUUAGUAUUUCAUCUGAAUAAAUUUUAAGAACUCAGCUCCAUGAUUAGAUUUUUUGAACUUGGGUACAUAUAUAGCAGAUUAUGCUGAAGACAGGUUCAUUGACAUCGAUGAUACAUGAUCAAUCUGAUAAACAAUUAACUAAAUUGGUGAAUCGUUAAUUUGCACAGUGCAAAAAGUUAUUAAUUCCAUGGUUAAGCAAAGCAAAGUGUAAAAGGAAGCAGAAAGAAUAUACUUGAUGUAGAGGAGACAUGGCAAAGAUUAAUUUUUUUUUUUUUUUUUACUAUAAAAUAAGUUAACCAUGGGUUAGAUGAAAACAAAAAAAAAUGGUAGAAAAGUGAUGUGUCAGUUGCUGGGACCAUUAGAUUAGAUAGAGAGUCCUGAUUUUAUGAACUUUAACUAAAUAAUUCACACUCUCCUCACUUUAGAGGAGCCGGAUCCGAGAUGAAGAUGGCAACGUCGUCCUUGAUCGAUGGAUCCGUUUCGCAAUGACAAAGGGAGUUGAAGAACUCAAUCUUCAUGGAGGUCGUAAGUAUGUUUUCCCUCACCAGUUACUUUCUGAACAAGUAAACGCAGGCUCAAGAGUUAACCUUAAAUAUUUGACAAUAUUUUGUGCCGAGGGUAUAAUACGACCUCCUCCUGAUUUUAGCGGAUUCAGUCAGCUAGUUACUCUUUAUCUGUCUCGUGUUAUCAUUCAUCCAACUUUUACGUCAAAUCUCUUCUCUAUCUUUGCGUCCCUUGAAAGUUUGACCUUACAUAUACAUAGUGUUAAACGGGAUCUUGAUCAUGAUGGUACUGGAACGGAUGAUCUGAAUAUUGUUGCCGGUGAUCGUCUAACUGAACUGAAGGUCAGAUAUUGGGAAGGCAAAAUAAAUAUUUCUGCACGAAAUCUUGCCUCCUUGGAAUACAUUGGAGAUCAUUGGAGCUCUCUUUCCAUCAAAAGUACUCCACGUUUGGCAAGAAUUUAUCUAUUAGACAUAGUUCACUGACGUCCAUCAAUGUUACCUCACGUUCUAAAGCAAUUUGCAAAGUGUUCUAAGCUCAAGUCUCUUUGUAUGCGGAUGGACCCGGAAACCCUAAUCAAUUUCAGCAUGCCAGCUUUUGGAAAUUUAAGGAAAUUGGAGGUGGAUAUCUGCAGCCGAGAUGCUAGUGGAUGGGACCGUAGUCGAUACAAUAACGAUGACAUUCUUCUUGGCUUUCUGGGUUUUCUCAAGGCUGCACCCCUUUUGGAGGAGCUUGUAACAGCUUUAUUAAUUGAUGACCUCAAGUUUACUGAAACUGAUGAACGAGGGAUAAGGAACGUUUCUGGAUUCACACAUGAUAAUUUGAAAUUCGUUAAGAUGAAGAAUUUCCAGUCAUUGGUCCGAGAUAGAGUUUGCUGUUUGUAUUCUCAAGUACGCUAGAAAGCUCAAGGUAAUGCAAAUUGGGCCUUUUGCAGAAAGAUAUUCUGGUGAUCAGGGGAAGGUCUACUACUUUAGGGAGAAGGUGAAGUAUCCAGGAUGCAUAUUAUCAAAGAAUGCAAACUGCAAACAGAUGCUGUUUGAUCUACUACAUUUUACGUUCAAAGAAAUCAAGGAAGUAAAGACGGAUGCUCAAAUUAUAUUAACUAACCUUCCUACACGUGAGAAAGUGCGGCCAAAUGAUUUCUCAAACUCCUUUCUCCUUCUAGCUCAUCCUGAAUUGACCGACUGAAAUCACUGAAUGCAUGUUGUUCUUCAAGACUCCAGUUAUGAUUGACUACUUAUUUUUGUGGAUGUUAACUGAACCACAUAAUAAUCUUUUUUAUCUUUCAAUCCAAAGCCACCCAAACUACGUACAGCUAGCACCCAACAACCCCAAAGGACUCUGGCCAUUUUCCCUUUACCGUAAGCUGACAGAUGUUUCUACUAGUUUACUUGUAACUUUCAGAUUUUAGGGAGAGAAAUAUCUGAGGUAUAUCAUCUUGUUCCAUCAUCUUGCUCAAGAAAAUAUCUGAGGUACGUCAUCCGUUAUGCAAAUACUACAGUACUGCCUGUAUACUUGUAUAUAUAAUACUUUUUUUUUGUAUACUUGUAAAGUAUUGAUAGAGGAAGCUGCAGUGAAGUUUCCCAUCUAGGCCAAACUGGUGAUGUGGUUAAUGUGAUACCACAUAUCUAGUUUAUUUUACAGAUCGAGAAAAGAAUAUACAUGAUUUCUUUGAAACUAGAUUUUUAAUGGAUAUUUUGUUGGAAUUGGUGGCUCAGAGGAUUUACUAUUAGGAUGACAUUACAGGUAUACUAGUAUGUUCUUCAGCUGCAUAUACUCAUUGACAACAUUACACAAUUGCAGAGCAGAGAUCUUAUUCCAUUGAAGACAUGACAGUAGUACAUGCACUAAGAUUAAGUUGCAGAGGAUCUCAUCAACAUGGUAGAAUCUGAGGUAAGCAGGUGCCCUACGCACAGUGCAAUAUCACAUAAUUGAAAAAGAUUGUAAUUCUCAUUUGUCAAUGGAGACGGUAACACUUCACCUUCCUUCUCCUUAAAGCCUUCCUCACAUGUAUCUGAUGCUUGCAUAACUGCACUCAGCCAGAUAUUGGCGUUGUCAUAUUGCUCACCUAGAAAUGCUCCAACAGCAUCGACCAAGGUUCUGAUGCCGUCCGAAUAGAGCUGCAAGCAGUCCUUCAAGCAAACCACAGCAAAAGGAUCUAGACUUUCGUUGCUCGUCAACAAAUUCUGUAUGAUCAGAAGCGUAUUGCUUGCAUUGUUCAGUGCCAGCUCCAUUGCUAUCAAUGCUAGUCCUUGGAGAUUAGCCACAUGGCUCACCGGAACUGUUUGGAGAGAGGUUGUGCAUAGAUCGUAGCUAAAGACGUGUGAUUCAUCGGCGCAUUUUCUGCAGGUAUGAUUGAUUAUAUCGGCAGAUAUUGCAGUAACUGUUGAGAAAUUUUCAGUAGGAAUUACAAGGAAAAAGAAGCAGCAGCAUAGAGAGAUUGAAAAUAAAGAAAUAUGGUACAUUGUUUCCUUUGGUUUCUUGCUCAUGUAGUGGAAUAUAUGUAGUUCUAAUGUGAUUUUCAUGAGCAGUGAAAACUUUAGAGGAAGCUUCCUCGACUGUUAGUACUACUCCUUUUAAAGCAACAAGGGCCCAAAACAAAACAGAAAACAGUCUAUUCUGCAAAGACACGAAUUUACACGAUGAUUCGGUGUAUGAUGUAGAGUUUGUUUAGUCAUUGUCUAUAUUAAUCAUUUGUGCUCAUUCAAAUGUUUAACAUAUGCUCCAGAAGGCUGGCAAGCUAGUAGGAGCACGUGUCCUACAUAACUACAUCAACCUUGGGAGGGGUUAGCUCGAGACGUGUUUUGGGUGAAACCUCAAAAACAAAACUGUGAGGACCAGUAGGCUCAAAAUAAACAAUACCUUAGUUGUAAGGACCGGGUUGUUCCAUAUGGGAUCAAAACCUGUCCCCGAUUGAAAGUGUGCCGACGAGAACAUCGAGUCCUUAAGGGGGGGUGGAUUGUGGGCAGCUGCAGAAGGCAUUGGCAAGCUUGUAGGAGCACGUGUCCCACAUCACCCCGGGGGGAGGGGGGGAAACAAAUUGAUGUGCUUAUAUUUGCAAAGUCAGCUCUUUACAUUGAGACGUUUUUUGUGGUGAAACCUUAAAAACAAAAUCGUGAGAUCCAGUGGGUCCGAAACAGACAAUAUCUCAACUGGUGAGGACUGAUUGUUACAACUGACAUACCAGAAAGAUAAACUUGUUCCUAAACAAAAGCAUAACAACAUAUGACACAAUUUUCCUAAUACCGCAUAGAAUUAAAAUCCAGUGUCACAAUGUUUUAUCAUACAUUCUUACCACUUCACACGGGUCGCCUCUCUCAAACUUGAACCCUAGGCUACUUCUGACCUUCAAUUGUUGCUAAUAUGGCAAUGGCGGACUCUAGCGUUGAUCUUGAUCACUCUGAUGUUGUUGUUGCUACUAGAUGGGUGUUGAAUUUUUAGCCUGGUCCUCAAGAUGGCUUGGUCGAAGGCUGAACAGUGAGGCUUGGUUUUGUUUUCGAUUCAUCAAUGUGACUAACUUUCGUAUACACGGGUGAGGUGACGCGAGCAUCAUCACUGGUGGUUGUUUGGAUGCAAGACCCUUACCCAGAAUUUGAUUCGGGUAUAACCUUCAUUUUCAGAGACGUCACUUGACCUCUUGGUGGUUGGAUCGUGGGCGGCGGGGGUGAUUCUGUGAAUAGCACCAUUAACAAUAAAACUUCAAUCACUCGAUCAUAGUUCUCAUUUUUGUUUUUUGUUUUAUUUGUUUUAGAAACUCAUGCAAUUAUAGUUCUCUAGAGCUUUGGUGACAACCUAAAACCUCCUCUACACUCACCCAAUCGCCGAUCCUAAACCCCCCAAAAAGUCGAAAACCCCUAAAAGCCAUGGCCUCUUCCGCCGCUAGGUCUAUGUGCCACUCUGUCGCCGCCAGGACCACCUAGGCCUGGCAAUGGGCCGGGUUCAUGCGAUCACAAGCAAGUUCUUAACGGGUUAAACCCAUUAAAAAUCCGUUAGCUAACAGAUCAAACCGGGCUUAGUCUGACGGGUUUGCAGGUUUCCGUUGGAACCCGCUAAGCCCGUGAUUUUUUUUUUUUACUAAACCCCUUGAACCUGUGAAGAUUUUUUUUAAUUUUUUAAAAAUGAGAUUAAAAAUAAUAAUUACACCUCAAAGUUAUAGUCAAAUUGCUCACACCCUGCAACACCAUAGCAUUAUAUCAGUCAAAUUCACCUCCAUAAACCAUUAACAUCAACUCUCUCCAACAUUUUCUUCACCCAAAGAUAAACCCUGAGACUCAUCAUGCAAACUCAUCUGCAAAAACAAAUAUAUAGACCAACAAAAUAAGCAAAUAAAGACAAAAUUGGUACCUCUUUUCUGCUUAUUAGAACUGGAUAUGCAUGUAUACACAGUAGAAUUGAAAACAAAUAAAACAGCAAGCAAUCACAAGUAACUACAUUGAUGAUUCUUCUAGUUAUCAACAACCAAAAUAACCAAACAACAAAAAUGGGACUAGUAAAAUUGAGAAUCAUAUCCUGAUGGAAACCAACACAAGAAUUCCAGUUUCUAAUCUCGAUUUGAUAUGAAUCUCGAGUAAGCAGUCGCUCUCCUAGUGGGCCUAGGGGUGUGUUGGGCUGCGUCAAUUAGCUGUCUUAAUUAAUAGGUUAAUUAGUUGAUUAGGGUUUUGUAGUGAACCGUGGGAUACGUGACAAGUGUCGAGAUCAUAUCACUCUUCAUGUACCUAUUUAAGCUGGCUAGGGUUUCUUGGCAGCUCCAUUGAAUGAAAUCUGCAUUUUCUUUACAUCUUUUAGCUUAGUUUCCUUAGCUGGCCGAGUUGAUCCAUUUGUAAGGGGUGACACCCUUAUCAGUGGUAUCAGAGCCCUCGAUCUGAGGGCCAUGUCGAAAAACAAAGCCACCGAUGGCGCAAAGAUCGUCGAGAUAUCACCAGAUGAAUACGACUUGUAGACUCUUCGAGCUGAAACCGCUGCACAAAUCUUGGCGUUGAGUGACUCGUUGGUGACGCACCGCGAGGAUGUGGCUACGCUGCGCGCUGAUAUGACAGCCCAGUUCCGAGCUCUGAUGGACAAGUUGGAGCCAGCCGAGGGCCAGUCGCUGCGCUUUGGCUGUUUUGGUGCUCCGCCUCCGUCAUCAGACUUGCCGAUUCUGAGAGCUCGAGGGACCACGCCAUCAAGCACGGAUGGUAUGUCUCUAUCAGUGAUGGGAGGAAAUUCAGCUACGAGUGUAUCCAAGACCAAUCGGCAACCAGAUCUGAGAGAGGACCAAGUCAUACUGGGUUUUGCACAUGAGAACGGAGUGGUGCCAGCAAGCGUGCCUCAGCCGUCCCUUUCAGUGGCAGCUGGGGGUCUACUGGGUCUCAACACUCAUGAGCAAGGUGAGACCAGUCGUUUUGGAGGCCUUGCGAGUGGUAAGCAGCAGACGGUCCAGUAUUUUCAGCAUACUGAUGGAGGAAACCAUGUGAGCCACUCAGGAGCUUACCCCUACCAGCACCAUCCUCCACCAGCUUUAGCGUUUGGGACCCCAAACCAUUCUGCACACCCCCACCCUAAGACACACACACAUCCCACUGAUUCUCAGGCAAACAUCGCUAUCUUUGGUCCUCCACCUUUACCUUCUCAGCCUAGCUACCCAUUUCGACAAAGCUCUCCAAAUUUUGCCCAUACUGCCUCUUUUCCACCACCACAAACUACCCAUACCCCUAUCGCUAACAAUACACAGCAGCAGCAAUAUGCUCAACACAAUUUUGACUACCCAUGCCAACAAUAUGCUCAGCAGCCACCUGGUUAUCCUCUCCCAAAUGGUCACCAAGCCCCUAACCCUAAUUUUAGCUAACAAUAUUUUCAGUAUGAUCCAGCUCUGCCCUCUAUGGGCCAGAUGAAGUUAGAGUUGGCUUCUUUUGGAGGAGGAGACCCCAUAGAAUGGCUUCAUAAGUUAGAGCAGUUUUUCGAGUUUUAUCAAGUGCCCGAGGAGCGCAGGCUGGCCAUAGCUGCUAUGCAUUUGGUGGACAAAGUAGCAGACCGGUGGUUUAUGUUCCAGCAUGAGUUUCCAUAGUCGUGGAGGGGGUUGUCGGAGUUGUUGAUGAGAGAGUUUAGUGUGCAUAACUAUGGAGAAUAUCAGGCUGCACUGGCUCGGAUUUCUCAAACUGGUUCAGUUGAUGUUUAUAUGGACCAAUUCACUAGGUUGUCUAGGCGCGCACCCGAGUUCUCUUCACAAGCCCUGCUCUCAUUCUUCUUAGAGGGAUUGAAGGAACCCAUCCAAACGCAUGUGAGGGCUCACAAGCCAACAACCCUGUAUACAGCUUGUGAAUUGGCCAAGCUAUUUGAGAGCAAUGUCAAAAACACACAUCGACCAAAUGCCCCAUUUGCUGGCCGUGCGCAGGAGGCACCACCAAGGCCACCUCCACAAGCACCCCAACGUGCACCAGUAGCACCAAAUCCUUCAGGAGUUAGGAAUUUCGGCGGGAAUAGGAGGCUGUCCAAUGCUGAGUACCAAGAGAGACGCGCAAGAAAUCAGUGCUUCUUUUGUGACGAGUUGUUUCAGCCAGGGCAUAACUGUCGAAUGGGCCAAGCGGUGUUGGUAAUGGAAGUGCUACAAGAGGAGGGUGCGCAACAGGAAGGACAAGUAGUUGAGGAAGCACCUGUGAAUGAUGUUGAAGUAAACAUUGUGGCAGUAGAAGAAGAAGUAGAGCUGAGAGCCAUGGGGGAUGGUACAUCUUCUACAAUGCAGCUGAAGGGCAAAAUCUUGAACAAAGAGGUUCAUGUUCUUAUUGAAUCCGGAGCCACUCACAACUUUGUGCAUCCAGCUGCCUUACAAACAACAAAGCAUCAGGUUGUGGGGAUCAAACCAGUGAGAGUGCGAAUGGCAAGUGGAGAAAUUCAGUACACCAAAGGGCAAGUAUCUCUUGAACUCACAAUGCAAGAGCUGACUAUCACUGCUGAUUUCUAUGUGUUGCCGGUCUCAGGUUGUGAGGUUGUGUUAGGGGAUAGCUGGUUACAGACUUUAGGUGAGAUUGUUUGGAACUUUGAGACUAAGAAAAUGAAGUUCCAAGUGGAAGAGAGAACUGUUUGCUUGCAGGGGAUAGUAUCACCCAAAGCUUCAUUGGUGAGUUGCAAAAGCAUGACUAGGCUGUUGAGAAAAGAGAGAGAGGCAGUACUGGUCAAGCUGCAACCCUCUACCACACGUGACCAGCAGCGACGUAUCCACCCUGCCAUUCAAAGCCUAUUGUUGGAUUUCAAAGAUGUCUUUGCAGACCCUCAGUCUUUACCUCCCUCUCGAUCACAUGAUCAUCAAAUUGAGCUUCUCCCUAAUACAGCUCCCAUUAGUGUGAGGCCAUAUCGAUACCCUCAUUUCCAAAAGGCUGAGAUAGAAAAGAUAGUACAAGAGAUGUUGGCUAGUGGCAUCAUCAGACCAAGCAUUAGUUCCUACUCUUCUCAUGUGCUGCUAGUUGAGAAAAAAGAUGGUACAUGGCGCCUUUGUAUAGACUAUAGAGCCCUCAAUGCCUUAACCAUCAAAGACAAGUACCCCAUUCCUGUAGUUGAUGAGUUGAUAGACGAAGUUCAUGGCUCUACCAUCUUCACCAAGCUGGACUUGCGCGCUGGCUAUCAUCAAAUUCGAAUGGCAGAGAGGGACAUUCAGAAAACAGCAUUCCGAACUCACACAGGACAUUAUGAGUUCCUUGUUAUGCCUUUCGGCCUCACAAAUGCACCUUCAACCUUCCAGGCGCUCAUGAAUGAUGUGUUACGCUGCUAUUUGAGGAAGUUUGUUUUGGUGUUUUUCGAUGACAUCCUCAUCUACAGUCCUAAUUUGGAAAUGUACCUCCAACAUUUGGAAUUGGUGCUCAGUACACUUCGAAAACAGUCCCUAUUCGUUAAGGAGAGCAAGUGCAAUUUUGGUGCUCCACAGGUUGAGUAUUUGGGACACAUCAUCAGUAAGGAUGGUGUUAGUGUGGAUCCUGCCAAAAUUGAGUGUGUCAAGCAGUGGCCAGUGCCUAAAACAGUGAAGGAGUUGCGAGGUUUCCUAGGCUUGGCAGGUUACUAUCGCAAGUAUGUGAAGAGGUUUGGUAUAAUUGCCAAACCACUGACCAUGUUACUUAAAAAAGAGGGGUUCAAGUGGAGUGAAGAGGCCACUGCUGCUUUUGAGGAGUUGAAGAUAGCACUUACUACUACCCCGGUGUUGGCAUUCCCUGAUUUCUCCAAACCUUUCACAGUUGAGUGUGAUGCUUCUGAUUUAGGUGUGGGAGCAGUACUUUCACAGGAGAGACACCCGCUUGCCUUCAUGAGCAAGGCAUUGUCUCAAAGACACCUUGCUCUCUCGGUCUACGACAAAGAGAUGCUAGCAGUUGUCACAGCAGUCCAACAAUGGCGUCCGUAUCUCUUGGGACACCAUUUCACCAUCUUAACUGAUCAUAAGACAAUUGAGCACUUUCUUAAUCAACGAGUAAUAACUCCAGCGCAGCAGAAGUGGCUAUUGAAGUUGCUCGGGUAUGAUUACACAAUUAAGUACAGGAAGGGUAAGAACAACGCUGCACCCGACGCUUUGUCUAGGUCAGUGUCUCUACAAGCCAUUACAGGAGCUUCAAUUCCAAUUCAUAACUGUGUGCAAGAGAUACACCAGGUUUGCACCUCUGAUGCUAAGACCAUGGAGAUAAUCCAACAGCUUCAAGCCAAUCCUCAGUCCCAUAAGCAUUUUUCUCUACAAAAUGCACAGCUCAUGUACAAAGGAAGAGUGUAUGUGCCUAACAUUGGCAAUUGGAGGCAGCGUGUGAUUCAAGAGUAUCAUUGUGGCUACACUGGAGGCCAUGCUGGACGCUCCAGAACUUACAAGAGAAUUGGUAAGAAUUUUUCAUGGUCUGGACUUCAAAGAGAUGUGAAAGAGUUCAUUGCCAACUGCCAUACAUGCCAACUCAAUCACUAUGAGACAAUUCGGCCACCUGGACUGCAACAACCUUUGGCCAUACCUCCAGCAGCUUGGAGAACAAUUACCAUGGAUUUCAUAGAAGGACUUCCUAAGUCUCAGGGGAAGACAGUCAUUUGGGUUGUGGUAGAUAAGUUCACAAAGGUAGCUCACUUUGUUCCCCUAUCACAUCCCUACACUGCUGCCUCUCUUGCUUCUGUGUUUGUUUCGGAGAUUUUCCGGCUUCAUGGAAUGCCUGAGGUGAUAGUUUCUGACAGGGAUCCUGUAUUCAUGAGUUUUUUUUGGGAGGAAUUCUUCAAAUUGCAAGGUACCAUUCUCAGUAAAUCCACAGCAUACCAUCCUCAGACUGAUGGUCAGACCAAGAACUUGAAUCGAACCCUUGAGUAGUAUCUGCGUUGUGUUACUGGUAGCAAGCCGCAGGAGUGGGUUAAAGCUUUGCCGUGGGCUGAGUGGUGGUAUAACUCAGCUCACCACUCCGCCUUACAGAUGACACCUUUUGAGGCACUUUAUGGUUACCCUCCCCCAGUGAUUCAGCCUUAUCUGCCAGGAUCUACGGCGGUGGCGGACGUGGAUUUUCAGCUGUGCAGCCGUGAUGAAUUACUGGCACUGGUUAAGAGAAAUUUGGAGCAGGCACAACUUCGAAUGAAGAGGCAACAUGACAAGCACCACACUGAGAGAACUUUUGCUGUUGGGGAUUGGGUCUACCUUAAGUUACAGCAGUACAAACAAAACUCUGUGGGAAAGUCUGCAUUCCAUAAGUUGGCUUCGAAGUUUUAUGGACCAUUUCAGGUCAUUGAAUGUGUGGGAGAGGUAGCUUACAGGCUGCAGCUACCAGCCACAGCAAGAAUACAUGAUGUAUUCCAUGUGUCACUUUUGAAAAAGAAGUUGGGCGGUACCGCAGUGGUGGAGGGACAAUUGCCUAAUGUAAGUGAUGCUUCAGUUCACAAAUGGGCACCAGAGGCCGUGUUGCAAGCUCGAAUGGUCAAGAGGCAUGGCGCUGCUGCAACUCAGUGGCUGGUCCAGUGGAUGGGGACUAGUCCAGAGGAGGCCACUUGGGAGUUGGCAGAUGAGAUUAUGCAGAGGUUUCCUGAUUUUAAACCGGACUUUUGAUUUUGUUGGAACUUGAGGGCAAGUUCCUUGACAAGGGGGUUGGAAUGAUAUGAAUCUCGAGUAAGCAGUCGCUCUCCUAGUGGGCCUAGGGGUGUGUUGGGCUGUGUCAAUUAGCUGUCUUAAUUAAUAGGUUAAUUAGUUGAUUAGGGUUUUGUAGUGAACCGUGGGAUACGUGACAAGUGUCGAGAUCAUAUCACUCUUCAUGUACCUAUUUAAGCUGGCUAGGGUUUCUUGGCAGCUCCAUUGAAUGAAAUCUGCAUUUUCUUUACAUCUUUUAGCUUAGUUUCCUUAGCUGGCCGAGUUGAUCCAUUUGUAAGGGGUGACACCCUUAUCACGAUUCUAACCAAAUACCCAACCCGAAUUCACAGAAAAAAGUAGAAUUUUACCUUAUCAGAGUCGAAGGGUCGAAUCCAAAACCCANNNNNNNNNNNNNNNNNNNNAAAAAGACCCAAUCUUUAAGAGAGAACUCAGAGAAGCAGUGAUAUCUGUGAUGGGUUUCUGAAAACUUAGAGAAGCAAAAAGAGUGAAUGACCCAAUCUCUUCUUCUUGUUCUUUAGUUUUUUUAUUUUAUGAUUUAUUUUUUUUGCUUCCUGUUCCAAAAAAAAAAAAACUUUUGCUUAAUGGGUUUUGACGGGCUCCAACGGGCUCAGCCCGCACGACUAGUUAAUUGGCGGGUUUCUGACAGGUGGGUUUUUAAUGGGCGGGUUUCGGAUGGGCUCACAGCCCGCGGGCCAAAUUGCCAGGCCUACCACCACCCUGGGUUCCCGGGUCACCUCUGCUACCCGACCCAAACCUGCCGCCGCACCAUCAGCAUCCCAAAACAAAACAAAAACCCCAUCUCUCACGCCCUUUUCAGGUCCCCGGUGGAGUUGAGCUACUGCGUGGAGACGUUGCUUCCCUACCACACUGCCACAGCCUGUGCAUUGCUCACUUCCAUACUCUAGCUCCGUCUCGCGACGCUCCUACGCUUGGACCCCUGAAGAUUUCUGAUUGUUAUCGAUCUGUUGUUAUCAAACGAGGAAUAAGUGUGUUCAAUCUUGUAUUGAUUUAUAAUUUUCCAGACGAUGGGAUUGAUUAAGGUUUAACUUAUGGAUGCAUAUUAUGGAUGAGCUCUUCCCGCCUCUUCCUGAUCUGUUUGUGUAUACGUAGAUCAUAAUAAGCAAAUUGUACAUUGCAUUCUGAUGUUAGAUAUGGUCUAAAUUGUCUGGAUCUAAAAAACAAAGAGCUUUGGUGAGAUGAUACGAGUUAGAUCGACUAGAUCAACAGGAUGUUGACAAAUUUUUGGUAAACAUUUCCUUACCAUUUCCAUAUAUUUAGGUUAAUCUCAAGAGCUUAAUUUGGUGAAAUGAUAUCUUGUUGUGCUAUGAAGAUAAGGUGUGGAUGGAGGAAGACUCGAUCAUAUAACUUCUUUCUAUCUUCCAAGCUGAGCUCAACACGAGAUGUCUUUUUCUAUCAAAGAAAACAAGUAUAUUAUACAUGAGCCGUCUGUGACAUCCAUCCACUGCCAUCACCCUUAUUCAGUUAGCUUGUGACGAUUGUUCUCAACAGUCUAAUAAUUAAAACGAAAAGAGGGGAUUGGCUUGCUUUGAUUUUUUGAGUUGUAUGUCGACGUCUGAAGCGCUCAUCUUUAUGACUAGCAUUUUUGUUUCAAAUUUUCAACUACAUACAAAGUUUCAACAAAUCUCCAAGUACUGCAGCUUUCUGCAAAUUCAUUUUCCCAGAAAGGAGACUAUACAAUACAAAGAAAAAUUUAUAUGGCUAGCCGAUCAUUGAGCUAGCUAGCUUAUUAUUAGCUUGAUUAAUAUUUGUAUAUACAAAUACAUUCAAACAACGUCUAUAUAUGUUGCAUAUAGUAUUUAGAAGAUUGAUAACUAAUUAACAGAAGAAUAUAUUAGAUUAACAUCAACGUACGAGCUUAGCUUUAUUUAUGAUCCUGAGCUAAUGUGUUGAUAAAAGCAAGAGAGAUGAUGUUCAAUUGGCAGAAGUGAUCAUUCUCCCUUUUCAAUGGAUAAACUUCACCUUUCUUCUCCAAGAACCCAUCUUCACAAGUGCUAGAUGCAUCCAUGGCAGAACUGAUUUCUAUGUUAGCUUUACCAUAAUCCUUGGCCUUCAAGGCACCCACAGCGUCCUGUAGGGUAAGAUCGGCAUCCGAAUACAGCUCUAAACAGUCUUCCAAGCACUCCUUUGCAUACUUGUCGAAUUGUUUCUCGACCAAAAGCUUCGAAAUGGUGGAAGUGAUGCUGGUCGCGUUGGAUAUGGUGAGGUUAAGUGUAAUGGCUACAAGUUGCUCAAGGUCUGCUCCAUGGCUUUGGGGGAUGGCCUCAAGGCUUGAAACACAGAACUUGUAGCGCAAAUUGGGAUCACUAGCUGCAGCUUUCUUGCAGGAGAGUCGGAUGAGAUCGUUGGAACCCAUUGUGUUGCGAAAGAGCACGAGAAAAGUGAUAAAGAAGAAGUACCUCAUUCUUUCCACAAACAUAAUCGAAUGGCCUUUUGAAAAAUAGAGAGAUUUAAGUAUUAUAUAUACGCAUUUGCACACACAAGAGGGCAUUUUCUUUUGUAAAGUAGGGACAGAAAUGGAUUUUUUGCCAUAUCUUCUCUUUAUUUCUCAACCGAUCGAUUCCCCUCUUGUUUUAUUUUUCAUAUUGCGUGAAGAAAUGAAUCGAUGUGCAUUAAAAAGAUCAUAUCUUAUAAAAAAUAAAAUAAAAGCUUGAGAAAUAGCAUAUCACUAAGCUAAUAUAUAGUUGCAUGGGCUGCAAUUUUUCUUAUGUUGAAUGAAGUUAAUAUAUGUAUAUAAUGCCUGUGUUAGGUUAAUUAAGAUAAACACAUGGCUUAACCAAGGUGAGUCUAUGUGCCAUAUAGUUCAUUCCACAAUCUUGUUUGAUCGAAUCGAACUCGAGCUCUAUAAAAUUCAUUCGAGAAAAAUGAGGUUUAGCUAGCUAUAGCCUGAAAAAUAAGAUCCAUGCUGGUCAUAUUACUAGAGUAAAAUAUAUCAACUCCUAGUAGGCUAGUAUAAUUUAUUGGAAGCUGUUGUGGAAUCUUUGUAGUUUGGAUAUAUAUCGUGAGUUAUAGAAAGUGCAUUAUAGAUCAAUUAGGCAAAUGAGACAUCUUGCUCUUUUUUGUCUUUCUGUUUUUAUAUGAUUUUUGCCAUUUUUUUGGUUAUGGAGAUACGUGACUGUUAUACUACACGCAAAGCAUGGGGCUGGCAUGUGAGUUUAUUCAAGUGGAAAAGAAAGAGAGAAAUUAAGGAAGAAGAUCGAUGACACUACUAGAAGAAAGGCUUUAGCCGACGAAAAUAAAAAAACCAGGCCGACGAAUUUUUUUUCGUCGGCUAAAGUCCACUUUAGCCGACGAAUUUUUUUUCGUCGGCUAAUUUAAAAUUUUCGUCGGCUAUGGUCAACUUUAGCCGACGAAAGUAAUAUUUCAUCGGCUGAAUAAUUUUUCCGUCGGCUAUAGUCUGUGAACUUUAGCCGACG
rnacentral:lncRNA from 1 species